rnacentral:lncRNA from 1 species
GUCUCUGCCCUCCCAGCUCGCUCUGGAGCCCUGGAGCACGCGAUUCACCUCCUGCUCCUCACAAGACUGGGUGGCCCCUGACAGUGAAUGGCUCUUACGCCUGACAUCUAUGUUUGUUUUAUUACAAGCGCUCUUCUUCUGAACACACGGCUUGAUUGCAUUGUUUGAGAUUGCUAAGCCUUCAAGCACUUUCAGAACGGAAUCCUCCCUGGGGACAGCUCGGUGCCCUCUGGGUCCCGUUUCCUGGAUCCUGUUCUGAGCCGGGCAGCUGGUAGCCCUGUUCGUGUGCGUUAAGGCUCGGUUCCCCAGCACAAUCAUUCAGGAUUGAAACGAUAGCAUAAUGGAACUUAGAGAGGAUCAUCUAAUCCCACGCUCACCUUACAGAUGAGGAAGCCAGGGGUCGCGGGUCUUUGUGGACUCAGUGGGAACUGAGAACAAUUCCAUCCGUACGACGUCCAGAUGAACCUUGCUGGUCGGAGAGGAAACUUCUGACCACCCCGAGCUGAGCUUUGUGUUCCUCAGGCCCCGAAACACAUUCUAGGAGAACAUCUGGAUGACUUUCUGUAUGGCAAUGACUUUUUAGAUAUAACACGAAAGGCACAAUUGAUGAAAUAAGUAAUUGAUAAGCCAGACAUCAAUAAAAUUAAAUAUAUCUGCUCUACAAAAGACAAGAUCAGGAGAAUGGGAAGGCAAGCCACAGACUGGAAGAAAAUACUUGCAAAUAUACAUCUAAUAAAGUACGGCUGCCCGCAGAACUCUUAAAUCUCAACAAUGAGAAAAGAAACAACCCAAUGAAAAAAAUGGGCAAAAGGCCUGGACAGACAACUCACCAAAGAAUACACACCAUUGGCAAAUGGAGAGUCUCCCUCGUUUAACAUGGCCCCACCUUUCUUGGGGGUCCUAAACCCCAACUCAAGAGCACCAGAAACCCACCAGCAGCUCUUCUUUGCUUUCUCACUACUUUUUGCCUUCUGCUCAUGGAGUGCUUUGAGGUGAAACCUGGUGCUGAGAUGUGGGCUCUGAUCUUUGAGCCUCCCCUCUCUUCAGGAUCUUGGCCUUUCAAAUCCUGGAUGCACUGUCAGGCCCAGACUCCAAUUCUUAUCUCUCCAGCUUCACAGUAUUGCAGGAAGCUCUGCUGUUUCCCCCUGCUUCUCAACAGCGGCACUCUUUCCUCUUCCUUACCUUCAACCCAGCCACAAAUCGGCAAGAGCCCAGAGAUAGAAAGUGAUGUGCAGAGAGAGUGCCCACUUCAGGAAGCACAAUUCUCACUAGGACUGGGCCUCGAACCACUGGCUGCUCUCACAGCUCUCUUGUGUAUCAUCUGUCUGUCUGUGUAUCCUGUCUAUCUAUCUAUCACCUAUUGAUCUA